rnacentral:rRNA from 1 species
UAGGGGGGGAUUGCGUAUGUACGUAGUUCCAUUGCGCACCCAGACACCCUAUGUGAACUUAUACCUUAUUGUUGCCUCGGCGCAUGCUGGUCCUCCGGGGCCCCUCACCCCCGGGUGUUGAGAAGGCACGCCGGCGGCCAACCCAACUCUUGUUUUUACACUGAAACUCUGAGCACAAAACAUAAAUGAAUCAAAACUUUCAACAACGGAUCUCUUGGUUCUGGCAUCGAUGAAGAACGCAGCGAAAUGCGAUAAGUAAUGUGAAUUGCAGAAUUCAGUGAAUCAUCGAAUCUUUGAACGCACAUUGCGCCCUCUGGUAUUCCGGAGGGCAUGCCUGUUCGAGCGUCAUUUCAACCCUCAAGCCUGGCUUGGUGAUGGGGCACUGCCUGUAAAAGGGCAGGCCCUGAAAUUCAGUGGCGAGCUCGCCAGGACCCCGAGCGCAGUAGUUAAACCCUCGCUCUGGAAGGCCCUGGCGGUGCCCUGCCGUUAAACCCCCAACUUCUGAAAAUUUGACCUCGGAUCAGGUAGGAAUACCCGCUGAACUUAAGCAUAUCAAUAAGCGGAGGAA